rnacentral:lncRNA from 1 species
AAAAAAAAAAAAGGAUUUUAUAAGUUGUGGGUAAAACAGAAAAAAUCAAAAAAAGAUUAUUGGGCUGGGUAUUACAAGAAAAUACUAUUUCAGUAUUUAUACUUCAAAAUUAAUCCAUUGUGUUACUUGCAAACAAGACUGUGAACUAAUGCUCAGGUUAAUGAGACAAAUCAAAUACAACUCAGAAAUCUGACCUGUGGUUUGGGUCAGAGCCAGUGAUGAUCAUCUUCACUGCAGCACUACAAAUCACCAGAGCACACCUGUGUGUGUGUGUGUGUGUGUGUGUGUGUGUGUGUGUGUGUGUUUGUAAGGGGCUGAUGUUCUUUUCCACCUCCACAUUACAUUAGCAGAAACGGUAAUGGUACCUCACUGUUCUCUGUCUGCUCGCGGUACUCACGCUAUCACAGAGGCAACACCUGAGCAGCACAAGAACACACUCCAUUAGAAAAGCAAACAGGGUCUUUACAGACAACCAAAGGUGCAAAGCUUAAGUAGGUUUCCACUUUUCCCCUGCGCUGUACACAGACUCUGAUGUUUGUUCAGUCGCCACUGAUAAGCCUGUUUGUGAAACAAUGGACAAAAUGAACUGAACCAGAAAUGGAAAGCAUGCUAAAGUUAUAACACAAUAAUAUUUACAAGCACAUUUGCAGCACCGAUCAUGUAAACACCAUUUCCGAAGAUGCUCUGGAUGAUUGUCAAUUCAUGCUGGAUAACAUGAUCAUCGGGUUUUGAGCAAACCUGUGGAGUCCAUGCCGGCUUGACAUUCAGGCCUGCAGCUCUGUGAAGAAGCAACAGUGACACUGAGGCUUGCUAACAGCACAAGCUCUUAGCAGAGAGGUGUGAGGCAGUAAAACAAGCCCUGUCAGAUUAAAACAUCUCUACAUGGAGCGAUGAUGUCCCUGUUCGACCCCAGUCAUGUUCAUGUAGCAUACAUGUGCUACUAUGCAGAGUUUAGCAAAUGUAAAAGGUCGUUCAUAUAUGCAGAGAAAUUUUUAGUUGCAUGUUCUUCAUGUCCUUGUGCCAUUCUUUUCUUUUAUGUAGGCUUUUAGUUUGUGGACUGUUCAGCUGCUGUUAUAUGUUGCUUUUGUGUCCAGUUUAGCUCCUUAUGUUCUUUUAUAUCUAUAGCCCUUGGUUUCUUCAGUCCUUGGUUUCUUUCUACAUUUAAAUGGACUGCCUCAUGUUUGCUUUCCUCUUGUCUCUAAGAUUCCUCAUGCUGUGGUUUUGUUUGAAGUUUAAUAAUA